rnacentral:rRNA from 1 species
ACAGAGGGUGCAAGCGUUGUUCGGAAUUAUUGGGCGUAAAGGGCGCGUAGGCGGUUCGGCAAGUCUCUAGUGAAAUCUCUGGGCUCAACUCAGAGUCUGCUGGGGAAACUGCCGGGCUUGAGUGUGGGAGAGGAGAGUGGAAUUCCCGGUGUAGCGGUGAAAUGCGUAGAUAUCGGGAGGAACAUCCGUGGCGAAGGCGGCCACCUGGGCCAACACUGACACUGAGGCACGAAAGCGUGGGGAGCAAACAGGA